rnacentral:rRNA from 1 species
GACGAACGCUGGCGGCGUGCUUAACACAUGCAAGUCGAACGGAAAGGCCCUGCUUGCAGGGUACUCGAGUGGCGAACGGGUGAGUAACACGUGGGUGAUCUGCCCUGCAUUUCGGGAUAAGCUUGGGAAACUGGGUCUAAUACCGGAUAGGAGCCAUCUUUAGUGUGGUGGUUGGAAAGUUUUUUCGGUGUAGGAUGAGCUCGCGGCCUAUCAGCUUGUUUGUGGGGUAAUGGCCUACCAAGGCGGCGACGGGUAGCCGGCCUGAGAGGGUGUACGGCCACCUUGAGAACUGGCUACGGCCCAAGACACCUACGGAGGGAGCAAUGGGGAAUAUUUCCACAUGGGCGCAAGCCUGAUGCAGCGACGCCGCGUGGGGGAUGAAGGCCUUCGGGUUGUAAACUCCUUUCGCUAGGGACGAAGCUUUUUUGUGACGGUACCUAGAUAAGAAGCACCGGCUAACUACGUG